AGUGAACGCUGGCGGUAGGCCUAACACAUGCAAGUCGAACGGCAGCACAGUAAGAGCUUGCUCUUACGGGUGGCGAGUGGCGGACGGGUGAGGAAUACAUCGGCAUCUACUUUUUCGUGGGGGAUAACGUAGGGAAACUUACGCUAAUACCGCAUACGACCUACGGGUGAAAGCAGGGGAUCUUCGGACCUUGCGCGAUUGAAUGAGCCGAUGCCGGAUUAGCUAGUUGGCGGGGUAAAGGCCCACCAAGGCGACGAUCCGUAGCUGGUCUGAGAGGAUGAUCAGCCACACUGGAACUGAGACACGGUCCAGACUCCUACGGGAGGCAGCAGUGGGGAAUAUUGGGCAAAGGGCGCAAGCCUGAUCCAGCCAUACCGCGUGGGUGAAGAAGGCCUUCGGGUUGUAAAGCCCUGUUGUUGGGAAAGAAAAGCAGCAGGUUAAUACCCCGCUGUUCUGACGGUACCCAAAGAAUAAGCACCGGCUAACUUCGUG
rnacentral:rRNA from 1 species